ensembl:processed_transcript C430049B03Rik RIKEN cDNA C430049B03 gene
GCUGGCUGCUCCCGCUCGCCUCUUGGGGUGCGCUCGGCUCCAGCCCAACUCCGCCAGCUCCGCCGGCUCCAGCACCGCUCCAACCCGAUUCCAGCCGGAUUCCAGCCCGAUUCCAGCCCGGUUCCAGCCCGAUUCCAGCCCGGUUCCAGCCCAGCUCCGUCCCGGCUCCGGUUCUUCUCCGCCACGCCUCUCUGUCGACGCUGAGGAGCAGCUUCGCAGGAAAAUCCCAGAAACCUUUGCAAAAAGCUUACAAUGAAAUUUAAGAAGUUCUACGAUUUCGGCGCCAUUUUCGAGUGGAGUGAGAGUAUUGGAAAAGUUUGGCUGGAAGGUGACCAUCGAUGGUUUUUUCCUCCACAAUUCCGUGUCCAUGUAAAAAUGACUUGUAAUAUAGCCAAGAAAAGACGGAAUUUUCAUUCCAACUUAAGGAGUGGGGCUGUUAUUAUUAAUGGCUUUAUUUAUCAUGACCUAAGCAAUGCAUAUGUUAGCACUGGAUCAUUAUCUGUUAUGUUAGGAAUUUUGUAUUUAGUUUAAUUACAUACUCUGUAUAUUUUAUUAAUUAAUUAAAAGGACCCAGCAUUCAUUGUACUAGUUUCGAAAAACGGACAUAAUUUUAAAUGAGAAUACAGGAAAUUUGUAUACAGAAUGUUUUUUGCUUUCAAAGGCACUGUAGUUUUGUUGUUUUAGUUAUUAGGUUUGUGGUUAAGGACUAAAGGAUGGUUUUUGUGCUUUCCUGAAUGCUUUGUUUAAACAAGGAAAUGAAUGUAACUUGUUGC